GGUCGCAGGAUUAAAACUCAAAGGAAUUGACGGGGACCCCCACAAGCGGUGGAUGAUGUGGAUUAAUUCGAUGCAACGCGAAAAACCUUACCUACCCUUGACAUGGCUGGAAUCCCGGAGAGAUUUAGGAGUGCUCGAAAGAGAACCAGUACACAGGUGCUGCAUGGCUGUCGUCAGCUCGUGUCGUGAGAUGUUGGGUUAAGUCCCGCAACGAGCGCAACCCUUGUCAUUAGUUGCUACGAAAGGGCACUCUAAUGAGACUGCUGGUGACAAACCGGAGGAAGGUGGGGAUGACGUCAAGUCCUCAUGGCCCUUAUGGGUAGGGCUUCACACGUCAUACAAUGGUACAUACAGAGCGCCGCCAACCCGCGAGGGGGAGCUAAUCGCAGAAAGUGUAUCGUAGUCCGGAUUGUAGUCUGCAACUCGACUGCAUGAAGUUGGAAUCGCUAGUAAUCGCGGAUCAGCAUGUCGCGGUGAAUACGUUCCCGGGUCUUGUACACACCGCCCGUCACACCAUGGG
rnacentral:rRNA from 1 species